CAUCUUCCCAAAGCCACAGGAGAGCAGGCAGAGCAGAAUCCUUGGAGGCAAUUCUUCUUCCAUAGUAACCUAACCCACCCUCUGCGAAGAUGUACAACGCUCCGUCGGGGCAGGAGAUGUCCUACACGGACCAUGUGCAGAAGCGCCACGAGGAGAAGGGCUGCAUCUACGCAUGCGUGUUCACGGCGCUGUGCUGCUUUUGCUGCUACGAGACGUGCGAGUGCUGCCUCGACUGCCUCUGCUGCUGCUGCAACUAGACCAGGCCGCCGGAGGCCGCAAGGCGCAGCAGCAGAGAUCCACCGGCCUCCGCCGCCUUUCAUAAUAAGCAUAUGUGUCUUGUGCCUUAGCUCGAUGAGAACUGUAUCAGAUAUUGCUGUAAUAUUAUAUGUCCAGGACAAGGCUAUCACUGUAAACAUCGAUUAUGGUUUGUGCUGCAUCUUAAUUUAAUUAGCAUAAGAUUCCGGUUCCCUGGCAUCAAA